rnacentral:rRNA from 1 species
UCGAUAAGACAUGCGAGUCAGAGCACUAGCUCGGCAUACCGCUCAGUAACACGUGGGUAACCUGCCCUAUUGUUUCGAAUAACCUCGGGAAACUGAGAACAACACGAGAUAGUCCACUACGCCUGGAACGGUGAGUGGAUAAAGAUAGGAUGGGCCUGCGGCAUAUCAGGUCGUAGGGGGUGUAACGGACCUCCUAGCCAUCGACGCGUACGGGUGUUGGAAGACAUAGCCCGGAGAUGGAUUCUGAGACACGAAUCCAGGCCCUACGGGGCGCAGCAGUUACAAAAACUUGGCAAUGCGGGAAACCGUGACCAGGGAACUCCAAGUGGCUGUCUUUUGGGCAGUCUUUUCUUGACUCUAAAACGGUCUUGGAAUAAGGGGUGGGUAAGGACGGUGCCAGCCGCCGCGGUAAUACCGGCGCCUCAAGUGGUCGUCGCUUUUAUUGGGCCUAAAACGUCCGUAGCCNGUUUGGUACAUUCGUGGGUAAAUCAGCUCCCUCAACGAGCUGAAUUCUGCGAGCACGGCCAGACUAGGGACCGGGAGAGGUGUGGGGAACUCUCAGGGUAGGGGUAAAAUCCUGUCAUCCUGAGAGGAACACCUGUUGCGAAGGCGCCACACUAGAACGGAUCCGACGGUGAGGGACGAAACCU